CCCCUCUCAGGGUUGCACCUGGAGAGUUUCCAGUCCUCUACCAGUCUCGGCUAUGGGAGGGAAAGUCAAGCAGAGGCCUGUCCAUUCCAUUCCUAGCUUGGCCAGUGGCUAGCAAGUGGCAGGCCAUCUGUUAUAAGU
rnacentral:snoRNA from 1 species